rnacentral:rRNA from 1 species
UACGUAGGGACCAAGCGUUGUUCGGAUUUACUGGGCGUAAAGGGCGCGUAGGCGGCAAUUCAAGUCACUUGUGAAAUCUCUGAGCUUAACUCAGAACGGUCAAGUGGUACUGCUUUGCUAGAGUGCAGAAGGGGCAACCGGAAUUCUUGGUGUAGCGGUGAAAUGCGUAGAUAUCAAGAGGAACACCUGCGGCGAAGGCGGGUAGCUGGGCCGACACUGACGCUGAUGCGCGAAAGCCAGGGGAGCGAACGGG